GGGGGCGUAGCUCAGUUGGUAGAGCAACAGCCUUUUAAGCUGUGGGUCCCGGGUUCGAGCCCCGGCGCCCUCA
rnacentral:tRNA from 1 species